rnacentral:rRNA from 1 species
UACGGAGGGUGCAAGCGUUAUCCGGAUUCACUGGGUUUAAAGGGUGCGUAGGCGGACAGGUAAGUCAGUGGUGAAAUCUCUGGGCUUAACUCAGAAACUGCCGUUGAUACUAUUUGUCUUGAAUGUCAUGGAGGUAAGCGGAAUAUGUCAUGUAGCGGUGAAAUGCUUAGAUAUGACAUAGAACACCGAUAGCGAAGGCAGCUUACUACACGAAGAUUGACGCUGAGGCACGAAAGCGUGGGGAGCAAACAGG